rnacentral:rRNA from 1 species
CAGCAGCCGCGGGAAUACGUAGGGUGCAAGCGUUAAUCGGAAUUACUGGGCGUAAAGCGUGCGCAGGCGGUUCGUUAAGACAGAUGUGAAAUCCCCGGGCUUAACCUGGGAACUGCAUUUGUGACUGGCGGGCUAGAGUAUGGCAGAGGGGGGUAGAAUUCCACGUGUAGCAGUGAAAUGCGUAGAGAUGUGGAGGAAUACCGAUGGCGAAGGCAGCCCCCUGGGCCAAUACUGACGCUCAUGCACGAAAGCGUGGGGAGCAAACAGGAUUAGAUACCCCAGUAGUCCCUGUCUCUUAUAC